rnacentral:rRNA from 1 species
CCUACGGGAGGCAGCAGUCGAGAAUCAUUCACAAUGGGGGAAACCCUGAUGGUGCGACGCCGCGUGGGGGAAUGAAGGUCUUCGGAUUGUAACCCCCUGUCAUGUGGGAGCAAAUUAAAAAGAUAGUACCACAAGAGGAAGAGACGGCUAACUUGGUGCCAGCAGCCGCGGUAAUACAGAGGUCUCAAGCGUUGUUCGGAAUCACUGGGCGUAAAGGGUGCGUAGGCUGUUUAGUAAGUCGUUUGUGAAAGGCGCGGGCUCAACCCGCGGACGGCACAUGAUACUGGGAGACUUGAGUGAUGGAGGGGGAAGCGGAAUUCUCGGUGUAGCAGGGAAAUGCGUAGAUAUAGGGAGGAACACUCGUGGCGAAGGCGGGUUCCUGGACAUUAACUGACGCUGAGGCACGAAGGCGAGGGGAGCGAAAGGGAUUAGAUACCCUUGUAGUC